ensembl:lncRNA
GAACGGGUCGGCUCAGUGUUUACGUUGAGAUGCUCACAACAAAGGACAGCGCACCGCGGAGAGGCUGUCAUUUAAAAUAAAGAGAAAGCACCGUGGAUAUUUUCUCUUACGGUGAGCGUCUGCAACUCACGACUCCUGGAAGGGGAGAGCAAAUUUAAAAAAAAAAAACCCUAAUCUGCUUCUAUUUUAUUUAUUUUUCCUACAUGAUACGCUUUAUUUUUUUUUUUAUCAUUAUUAUUUUAUUUUUUUAAGCAGCUAAGACGCGGAGAAAUUAGGACGAAAUCUUCUGCCGUUUUUUUUCUAUGUUUUUGUUUUUUCCUUCUGAGCCGGUGGGACGAUAGCUAGCUCCUUAGCCUCUGCAAGUUGGUGGGAAGGCUAAGCAGCUGAGACCGACCGCAGGCUCGGGACAAUAAGAGGACCUCAUCAUUUAUAUCGCACUGAUGUGGAUCUCACCACUUCCCUUCCCCUUUCUGGAAAUGUCACAGAGAAGAGAGACGUGCAUUAACACCAUCUGUCCCUGGUCUUACUUCCAUUGUCUGCUUUUUAUUGUGAACGCUAAUGAGGAAAUGUUGGCAAGUUGUAGCAGCCAGUGCAUUUCAUUUUGUCACUGAACCAACCUCAGAGCUUUUUAAAAUUUGUAUUAGAAUAGGAAAUUCAAAUAAUUAUAAACUGUCUAGUUCUAUCACAUUUCUUUUUAAAAUUUAACCUUAAAAAGAAAGCAAGAAAGUAGGCUUUCAACGAGUUAUAGCUACAGAUGCAUAGUGCGAAAAGUGUUGUGUGUAUAUAACGUGCUCUGUUGCAAUCAGUUUUCUGCAAACAUAUAAGUUGUGCAUAUGGGUUUGUA